GACGAACGCUGGCGGCGUGCUUAACACAUGCAAGUCGAACGGGCUCUGUCUGGCUGUGUGCUGGGUGGGGUUAGUGGCGAACGGGUGAGUAAUACGUGAGUAACCUGCCCUCUUCUUUGGGAUAAGCCUUGGAAACGGGGUCUAAUACUGGAUAUUCCUGUCUGGUCGCAUGGCUGGGUGGGGAAAGUUUUUUUCGGUGGGGGAUGGGCUCGCGGCCUAUCAGCUUGUUGGUGGGGUGAUGGCCUACCAAGGCGUCGACGGGUAGCCGGCCUGAGAGGGUGGCCGGCCACACUGGGACUGAGAUACGGCCCAGACUCCUACGGGAGGCAGCAGUGGGGGAUAUUGCACAAUGGGCGCAAGCCUGAUGCAGCGACGCCGCGUGGGGGAUGACGGCUUUCGGGUUGUAAACCUCUUUCGUCGGGGGACAAGGCUCUGCUUGGUGGUGGGGUUGAGGGUACCCGGUGAAGAAGCGCCGGCUAACUACGUG
rnacentral:rRNA from 1 species